AUGGACAACAUAUCUUUAGAUCCACGUUAUGUGUGUAAAUCCAGCCCAUUACUACUACUACCCAUACUACCUCUACUACUACUACUACCCAUACUACCUCUACUACUACCCAUACUACCUCUACUACUACUACCCAUACUACCUCUACUACUACCCAUACUACCUCUACUACUACUACCCAUACUACCUCUACUACUACCCAUACUACCUCUACUACUACUACUACUACUACCCAUACUACCUCUACUACUACUACCCAUACUACCUCCACUACUACCCAUACUACCUCUACUACUACCCAUACUACCUCUACUACUACUACUACCCAUACUACCUCUACUACCACUACCCAUACUACCUCUACUACUACCCAUACUACCUCUACUACUACUACCCAUACUACCUCUACUACUACUACCCAUACUACCUCCACUACUACCCAUACUACCCUCUUCUUCUACUACCCAUACUACCUCUACUACUACCCAUACUACCUCCACUACUACCCAUACUACCUCUUCUUCUACUACCCAUACUACCUCUACUACUACCCAUACUACCUCCACUACUACCCAUACUACCUCUUCUCUACUACCCAUACUACCUCUACUACUACCCAUACUACCCAUACUACCUCUACUACUACUACCCAUACUACCUCUACUACUACUACCCAUACUACCUCUUCUACUACUACCCAUACUACCUCUUCUACUACCCAUACUACCUCUUCUACUACUACCCAUACUACCUCUACUACUACCCAUACUACCUCUACUACUACCCAUACUACUACCCAUACUACCUCUACUACUACCCAUACUACCUCUACUACUACCCAUACUACCUCCACUACUACCCAUACUACCUCUUCUUCUACUACCCAUACUACCUCUACUACUACCCAUACUACCUCUACUACUACUACCCAUACUACAUCUACUACUACUACCCAUACUACCUCUUCUACUACUACCCAUACUACCUCUUCUACUACCCAUACUACCUCUUCUACUACUACCCAUACUACCUCUACUACUACCCAUACUACCUCUACUACUACCCAUAACUACCUCUACUACUACCCAUACUACCUCUACUACUACCCAUACUACCUCUACUACUACUACCCAUACUACCUCUACUACUACCCAUACUACCUCUACUACUACUACCCAUACUACCUCUACAACUACCCAUACUACCUCUACUACUACCCAUACUACCUCUACCUCUACUACUACUACCCAUACUACCUCUACUACUAAUACUACCCAUACUACCUCUACUACUACCUACCCAUACUACCUCUACUACUACUACCCAUACUACCUCUACUACUAA
rnacentral:lncRNA from 1 species